rnacentral:rRNA from 1 species
CGCUGCUUUACCUGCAAGUCGACGGUAACAGGUCUUCGGAUGCUGACGAGUGGCGAACGGGUGAGUAACACAUCGGAACGUGCCUAGUAGUGGGGGAUAACUACUCGAAAGAGUAGCUAAUACCGCAUGAGAUCUAAGGAUGAAAGCAGGGGACCUUCGGGCCUUGCGCUACUAGAGCGGCUGAUGGCAGAUUAGGUAGUUGGUGGGAUAAAAGCUUACCAAGCCGACGAUCUGUAGCUGGUCUGAGAGGACGACCAGCCACACUGGGACUGAGACACGGCCCAGACUCCUACGGGAGGCAGCAGUGGGGAAUUUUGGACAAUGGGCGAAAGCCUGAUCCAGCAAUGCCGCGUGUAGGAUGAAGGCCCUCGGGUUGUAAACUACUUUUGUACGGGACGAAAAGACUCUU